AAUGCUUUUUUAAAGACAUAUCUAAGUAAUUAUCUUUUUAUGAAUUAAAAUAAAUAACUGUUCAUUUUUUCCAAAUUUGUAUAAAUAUAUAACCAUUCCUUUUACUAAAUUUUGAUAUCAUAAGCGCACAAUAACUAAAUAAGUAUGAAAAUUUUAAUUUUCAGUGUUUCAUUGAGAUUUGGACUUCCAACAACUUGAAUUUAACAAUACUGCAUUAUUAUAGGGUAUGAUUGCAACAUGAAACCGUUACUUACCUUUUUUUUAAAUGUUUAAAAAUUGAACACUAGCAAGUCAGUAGAACAUUACCUAUAAACUAGACAUGAAACCCAAUCACCAUACCCCAUCACCAUACCCAAUCACCAUACCCCGUCACUAUAUCCCAUCACAAUACCCAAUCACCAUAGACCAUACUCCAUCACCAUACCCAAUCACCAUACCCAAUCACCAUACCUAAUCACAAUACCCAAUCACAAUACCAAAGCACAUUCACUUAGCAUGACACCCACAACCAUUAACACUGUAUGUAUAGAAUAAAAGGUAGUUUAAACUGGCUUGCUAAUGUUUUCUUCUUGGCUUUCUUUAAUUAUCCCCUCGCCUCACAUAGCAACAGCUUUAUGUAUUGUUGACCUGGGACUGAACUUCGGAGCAGGUUGGGUGGAAUGAGGCAACGUCCAGGAACUGAUAUUUAAGAACUCAGAGGUCUUGGAGGAGACUAGGGUCUGAUGAAAGGGAGAGGAAGACUCCAGGCACUUGUAUUUAAGGGCAAGGAAGGGAGUAGGGAAAAGCUAACCCAAAACAAGUCCAGGGACUUAUUUUUAAGGGCAUGGGGGUCCAGGGACCUGUUUUUAUGGGAUUGGGGUUUUGGAGGAUUACCGCAUGUGAGUCCAGGAUCUUGUUUUUAAGGGAUGGUGGUUGGGGAGGGUUACCCCAUGGGAGUCCAGGGACUUGUUUUUAUGGGAUUAGGGGUCAGGGAGGAUUACCCCAUGGGAGUCCAGGAUCUUGUUUUUUAAAGGGAUGGUGGUUGGGGAUGGUUACCCCAUGGGAGUCCAGGGACUUGUUUUUAUGGGAUUGGGGGUCAAGGAGGAUUACCCCAUGGGAGUCCAGGAUCUUGUUUUUUAAAGGGAUGGUGGUUGGGGAGUGUUACCCCAUGGGAGUCCAGGGACUUGUUUUUAAGGGAUUGGGGGUCAGGGAGGGUUACCACCAUGGGAGUCCAGGGACUUGUUUUUAAUGGAUGGGAGUCGGGAAGGGUUACCCCAUAGAAAUCCAGGUACUUGUUUUAAGGGAUUGGGGUCGGGUAGGGUUACCCCAUGGGAGUCCAGGGCCUUGUUUUUAAGGGUUUUGGGGUCAGGGAGGGUUACCCCAUGGGAAUCCAGGGACUUGUUUUAAGGGCUUGGGGUCAGGGAGGGUUAACCCAUGAGAGUCCAGUGUAUUUAAGGUCUUGGAGGUCAGGGAGGGCUACCUCACGGCCUAGUGUAAUAGAGAUGAAGAAGUUGCUGGGUAAGGAGGGGAAGUAAGUAAUGUGUUGGUGUUGUAAUUUCACACUGUUCUGAUACUGUAUAGUUGCUUUAAAGAUUGUGAAGUACAAAUAACCCUGUACUUUUGGAUGAAAUGCAUUAUAAAUUUCAAAAUAAUGAACACUUCCUUUUUCUGAAUUUAAAUAAAUAAUACUUUCUUUUCUGGAUUUUAAAUAAAUAAUUCCUUUUCUAGUUUUCAGAUAAAUAACCAUUCCUUUUUCUAAAUUUAAAUAAAUAAUUCUUCCUUUUUUAAAACUCAAAUAAUUCUUCCUUUUUAAAUUAUAAAUAAAUAAACCUUCCUAUUUCAAAAUUUAAAUAAAUAAUACUUCCUUUUUUAAAAUUAUAAAUAAACCUUUGUUUUUUUUAUUAAAUUUGAAUAAAUAACCAUUUCUUUUUUUAAAUUUGAAUAAAUAAUCAUUUCUUUUUCCAAAUUUAAAUAAAAUAACCUUCUUUUUUUUCUAAAUUUGAAAUAAUGACCCCUUUUUUUUGUGUGCUGGUGGUGUUACCACAGGUUUGUGUAUGCGUCUAGUGUGGUUGGGAGUCAAAGACUCUUAAACUGCCGCUGGAUAGCUUAUAUUCAUAGGUGAAAAGAAAGCUGAGUGCGUAAGUCUUUCCUUCCAGUAUAUAGCCUCUACACUAACAAGACUUCUACAGUGCCUCCCCGUGACAGCACACGGUAACUAGGAUCUAGUGUUCUAGGCUUGACUGUAGAGGAUCUCGGAGUAGCAAGGACCCUAGAGAUGAAGUGUGUAGGCCGAUUGACAUGCGGACAUCCAUAGCACUCAUCACCCUUGCCCCAGUUAUGGGUCAAAUAGCCGGCUGAAUGAUGGUCAUUGUAAAGAUUCUCUGGUUCUCCAGGUUUGGGAUUGAGAAAUAUGUCAACAACCUAUCCUAAGUGUAAAAAGGAAGAAUGAUCAUAUACUGAUUAAUCUCCCAGAUGAGGAACAUCACAACUGGGUCUGCAUGAAGCUUUGACAUUCAAAAGACAAGUUAUCCUGGAUAUUUUGAAAACACGUAAAUGAUUUACUGAAGGAAAAUCGAAGGAAAGUAGGACCUGAAUGUAAAAUAAUACCAACUUGAAGACAAAGUGUGCUUGUUAAUUUAGAAAUCAACUGAAGCAAAAUAAGAAGAAUGGAUUCUGUUGAUCUGAGGAACUUGGAAACACUUAUUGACAAAAAAAUAUGUAGUAUAAUACAAUUAUGUUUAAAAGAGAGAGAUAGAAAAAGGGUGAGAGCCAGUUGUAAAGAUUUAUUCUUUUAAACCAGAUAUGUUGAUUACAUUCAAAUUUCAUAGGCCUACAGUUCCCCCUAUAUGGUCCUAUUUAAUACAUGUACUAGGUGUUUAAUGUAAGACUUUGAUGUGACGUUUGAGAACAAUCAGCUGCCAUUGGUUUAAAUCUAUUUUUAUGCCCUUUCAGUUGGGGGGGGGGGGGGAUAUUGUUUUACUCCUGUCCUUACGCUCUACCAUCCUUUUAUAGGUAUAUAGAAAUAAGAAGAUGUGAAAUUGAUGACAAUGAGACAACUCUCAUCCAGUUUACAUGUAGUAUAGAUAACUACUCCUAGAGUUAAAGGAGUUAUCUCCCAUAUUUGUAGGUUCUUUUGAUAUUUUGAUAUUUCAUGAUAAGGCUAAUGUAAAUAGAAGAUUUAACUUGUUUUUGAAUUUAACAAACUGAGCAUAAGUUGUGAGGAAUGGAAACUAGCAGGCCCAGUUUAAGGGUUAAGGGGAGGGAAUACACUUGUUUAUCUUUUCAUAUGAGCUAGUUUUGUUCACUGCAUGGAAGGCCUGCAAUAAAUUAGAAUGUAUUAGUUUUAUAUAUGAUUGUUAUAUAUUUGUUGUUAGAUAUGCUAUAUAACAUGCAAAAAAGUAAGAUGACAGUAUUAUAGUUCUGUAAAUAAAAUUAGCUUGUAAACAGAGGUCUAGAUAAUGCAUUAAGUUGAUUGGUCUGACAUUGGAAUUUCAAAUUAUAUUUAUGUCGUCAUCAUCUACCAAAGUGCUUCCAUUCUCAAUAUUAUCUGAUAUUAAACACCCCUUCCUCCCAAUUAUGACUUCAUUUUUAGUUUAAUGAGUUAUCUCCCAUAUUUGUAGGUACUUUGGUAACAGUAUUUCAUGAUAAGGCUAAUGCAAAUAGGAGACAACUCUUGUUUUUUGUAGAAAAGAAGAUUUAACUUGUUUUCAAAUUUAAUGGUAAAUCCUGUGACUUCGUAAAUUUUUUCUUAGCUUUAAAAUAAUAUUUAACACCCUGUCCAUGAAAUUGAACAUUGCUCCUCUUGAUUUUAGUAAGUGAAUUCUUUUGUAAUAGUUUAAAAGAAAUGUCAAAUAGUAUUUCAUAAUGCAUUAGAAGGAAUGGUAUAUUUUAUAGAAUGCUAGUAUUGUUUUACUUGUAUGUUUAAAAGUAGUCACAAAAUGUCAUAUAUUAUUUGUUUUACUAUUUACUAUUAUAAAGUGGAAUAACAUGAACUUAUUUCCCUAUUUGCUAGUUCAAAACUAUUAUAAAGUUGAAAUUUCUGUAACAAUUAAACACCCAUGAUUCUUCCCUACAAUGUAUGAGGUUUUUUUAAAGCGGGGUGUAUUUUUUUUUCAAUAUUGCCAUAUUCUUAUGUCGUAAGUAUCAGUAUUAUAUAAGGUGAU